GGGGAGGGUCCCUGUUCUCUGCUCCUUAAUUCUGUGCAACUUAAUGCUCCUCUUUCUUCCAGGCCCACGGUCUCUACUUUGAAAGCUCUGGAGUCCGACUAAAGCACCGCCACCCAAACCUCCGACCGCCGGGGCCGCCAACGCCCCCGCCCCCCAGGCUGGGCCGGGGGCGGGGUUCAGGGCGCGGGCGCAGGUUGCAGACGCGCUCGAGAGGGGGCGCGGUCUCCGCCGCCGGGUCCGCCCUGCGGGGCAGAGGUCGCGGGGGGCGAGGCUCCCGGGCCCGCUGCUGCCCCGGGUCCGGAGACGCGCGCGCCCCCCGCCGCGGACGGUCUCCAACUCCUGGGGGAAGGGGGAAGAAGGAAGAUACCUACACAGUUUGAUCAGAACUCAAUAGCCCAAUCAUCACUGGGUGCCUUUGGCACACUCUUGCUUUAUUCUCCCAAGAGAAGAUUUGAGGGUCACUGGAUUAGAGGACAGGAAGACCAUUUGGAGAUCUAAAGACAAACAAAGUAAAGCAUCAUUUUAAACAUGUAGAGGUAGAAGUGACUGAUUCUCUGUGGAGCAGGUGAUUUUCUUUCUUUUAUUUAUUCAUUCAACAAACAAUAAAUUGAGCAAUUCCUGCCA
rnacentral:lncRNA from 1 species